AUUCAGCCGACGAGUCCCAAAUAGGACGAAACGCGCGUCCUGGAU
rnacentral:hammerhead_ribozyme from 1 species